AUUUAACUUAAGUACAACUUAAUAGAAUUAAGAAAUGUCAUACUAAGAAUGAUGAAGUCCUGUUAUCUGUCUAUUUUUUCAAAUACGGAUGAUUUAAAAAUAAACCUAAUGUAUAUAGCACAUGCUAAAAUACAAUCAAAUCUCACAAAGUGCCAAAUAAGUAACAUCGAUCACUAAAAAAUACAUUUCAAUCAUAGCUUAUUAAAACAGUAUUAAUUUGAUUGCGGCAAAUGGUCUGAAAUGCAUUAGACAUUAAUGGAAGACAAAAUGUAUUCAUUUUUAUUGUCAUCAGUUUAAUGUAGCCUACAUAUUCAUUUUGCUUGCAGGGAUCAUUUUAAAGCUCAAACUGACUUCCUACACUAGUCCAUGUUCUCUCUAGGGAAGCUCGUUUUAAAUUCUGAGUAGUGAGCUCGCUGUAAAAUGUGCUUUUACUUGUUUGUUAUUUUAGGAUAUUAUUCUGUCAGUAUAACAAAGUAUUCAAGUUGUCAUGAUAACACAACAUUACUAGUUAGUAACAUAUCUACGACAAAUAAAACGCUAAUUUGAAAAUUAAUUCAAUUGAAUUAACACGCUAGUAGUAUAUUUUAAGUCAACUUGAUUAAGGAAGUAGUCGCGGCCGUUAUCAAAGUGCAUUAUGGGGUUGGCGGGCGAAGUUGACUUCCUUUCCGUCCUUGAGCCUUUUCGGACCAGGCUUCGGUAGCAUCAUCGGCUCAGACUGUUUUCAAGGUUGCUGGUUCCAAAAUGAUCUGGAAGUGUAAGUUGUGCGCAGCUUCUUUCACCUCCAGAAUACAGUUAUUUAGACACUAUAGGCUGCAACAAGAUGAGACGGGCUGGAUGUCAGGAGGUCACUGUUAAUGCUGUAAAAAGAAGUAGAAGUAAUCCUGAAAAUGAAUCUUCACAUUCCAACUUUCCCCAAGGAAAGGAUCCUUCAAUCCUUGAGCAGUUGAGGCAGACAAUUGUUGAAGAAGUCACGAGACUGAGAAGAGCCUGCCCCUGAUUAGAAAGAUGAUGGAGACCACAUUUCCCCUACGCCGACAGACUAUAGUGAUGUCCUGCCCACCAGUGAACGAGCUCAUGAACCUCUGGCCUGCUCUCAAAAUAGACAAUGAGUUGUAUGCAGAGUUCCAGCGGAUUACGAAUCAGAACCUCUCCAACACAUUCUAUGCUGAGCUUGACCGCCAUCUUCCUCGACUGAUGACCUUAUUCAGACAGAAGGCAUCAAAAACUGGGAAGACAGCAGAUGCUGUAGUUGAAAUUUAAAAAAUCCACGAUGAACAGGUAAAUAAAUUAUUACACACUUCAUAGGUUCAAUGACUCAUGAG
ensembl:lncRNA